rnacentral:rRNA from 1 species
AGGACGAACGCUGGCGGCGUGCUUAACACAUGCAAGUCGAACGGUAAGGCCCUUCGGGGUACACGAGUGGCGAACGGGUGAGUAACACGUGGGUGAUCUGCCCUGCACUUCGGGAUAAGCUUGGGAAACUGGGUCUAAUACCGGAUAUGACUACGAAUCGCAUGGUUUGUGGUGGAAAGCUUUUGCGGUGUGGGAUGGGCCCGCGGCCUAUCAGCUUGUUGGUGGGGUGAUGGCCUACCAAGGCGACGACGGGUAGCCGGCCUGAGAGGGUGUCCGGCCACACUGGGACUGAGAUACGGCCCAGACUCCUACGGGAGGCAGCAGUGGGGAAUAUUGCACAAUGGGCGCAAGCCUGAUGCAGCGACGCCGCGUGAGGGAUGACGGCCUUCGGGUUGUAACCUCUUUCAGUAUCGACGAAGCGCAAGUGACGGUAGGUACAGAAGAAGGACCGCAACUACGUGCCAGCAGCCGCGGUAA